UACAUGUGGGGCAAGCGUUGUUCGGAAUUACUGGGCAUAAAGGGUGCGUAGGUGGUUUGUUAAGUCAGGGGUGAAAUCCCGCGGCCCAACCGUGGAACUGCCUUUGAUACUGGCGAACUUGAGUGCGUGAGGGGUAGGGGGAACGAGCAGUGUAGCGGUGAAAUGCGUAGAUAUCAGGAGGAGCACCGGUGGCGAAGGCGGGUCUCUGGGCCGAUACUGACGCUGAGGAGCGAAAGCGUGGGGAGCGAACAGG
rnacentral:rRNA from 1 species